ACUCCUACGGGAGGCAGCAGUGGGGAAUUUUGGACAAUGGGGGCAACCCUGAUCCAGCAAUGCCGCGUGUGUGAAGAAGGCCUUCGGGUUGUAAAGCACUUUUGUCCGGAAAGAAAACCGCUUCUCUAAUACAGGGGCGGGAUGACGGUACCGGAAGAAUAAGCACCGGCUAACUACGUGCCAGCAGCCGCGGUAAUACGUAGGGUGCAAGCGUUAAUCGGAAUUACUGGGCGUAAAGCGUGCGCAGGCGGUUCGCUAAGACCGAUGUGAAAUCCCCGGGCUUAACCUGGGAACUGCAUUGGUGACUGGCGGGCUAGAGUAUGGCAGAGGGGGGUAGAAUUCCACGUGUAGCAGUGAAAUGCGUAGAGAUGUGGAGGAAUACCGAUGGCGAAGGCAGCCCCCUGGGCCAAUACUGACGCUCAUGCACGAAAGCGUGGGGAGCAAACAGGAUUAGAUACCCUGGUAGUCCACGCCCUAAACGAUGUCAACUAGUUGUCGGGUCUUCAUUGACUUGGUAACGAAGCUAACGCGUGAAGUUGACCGCCUGGGGAGUACGGUCGCAAGAUUAAAACUCAAAGGAAUUGACG
rnacentral:rRNA from 1 species